rnacentral:rRNA from 1 species
CGUAUAUUAACGUUGUUGCAGUUAAAAAGCUCGUAGUUGGAUUUCGAGGCCUGGGUGGCUGUCACCCUAUGGGUAGGCGGGCCGCCUGGGUCUCUUAUUUCCGGGGACGGCGUCACUUUUAAUUAAGGGGCGUUCGGACGCGGAUCGUUUACUUUGAAAAAAUUAGAGUGUUCAAAGCAGGCCUUCGCUUGAAUACAUUAGCAUGGAAUAAUGGAAUAGGACUCUGGGCCUAUUUUGUUGGUUUCUGGGACUAGAGUAAUGAUUAAUAGGGACAGUUGGGGGCGUUCAUAUUCCGAUGUCAGAGGUGAAAUUCUUGGAUUUUCGGAAGAUGAACUUCUGCGAAAGCAUUCGCCAAGGAUGUUUUCAUUAAUCAAGAACGAAAGUUAGGGGAUCGAAGACGAUCAGAUACCGUCGUAGUCUUAACCAUAAACUAUGCCGACUCAGGAUCAGUGGAAGUUCGAUUUCGACUCCAUUGGCACUGUGUGAGAAAUCAAAGUUUUUGGGUUCCGGGGGGAGUAUGGUCGCAAGGCUGAAACUUAAAGGAAUUGACGGAAGGGCACACCAGAAGUGGAGCCUGCGGCUUAAUUUGACUCAACACGGGGAAACUUACCAGGUCCAGACACAGUAAGGAUUGACAGAUUGAGAGCUCUUUCUUGAUUCUGUGGGUGGUGGUGCAUGGCCGUUCUUAGUUGGUGGAGUGAUUUGUCUGGUUAAUUCCGAUAACGAACGAGACCUCAGCCUGCUAACUAGGUGCGCGAUCCACGCGAUCGUAGUACCUUCUUAGAGGGACUAUUCGUGUUUAACGAAGGGAAGUUUGAGGCAAUAACAGGUCUGUGAUGCCCUUAGAUGUCCUGGGCCGCACGCGCGCUACACUGAUUCAAGCAACAAGUUACAACCUUGACCGAAAGGCCCGGGUAAACUUCAAAAUUGAAUCGUGCUGGGGAUAGACUAUUGCAAUUAUUAGUCUUCAACGAGGAAUUUCUAGUAAGCGCGAGUCAUCAGCUCGCGUUGAUUACGUCCCUGCCCUUUGUACACACCGCCCGUCGCUCCUACCGAUUGGAUGGUCCGGUGAAGUUUUCGGACGACGACGGUUUUGGGUUCUGCCCAUGCCUGUCUGUCGGAAGUCACCUAAACCUUACCAUCUAGAGGAAGGAGAAGUCG